UGACAUCAAAAUUAUUUAUCUCUGACAUUAGAACAAUACAGGUAGAGCAGUAGAACAAUCAAUGCGCACCAAUUCUUAAUGAAAUUAGAAACUUACUCAUCGGUCAGUAAAUUACUCCAGAUGAUAGUGUAUUGUGUAAAUUUCAUUUGAAAACCUAUAGUCAGUGUAUUCUUAAUGCAAAUGUGUUUUUGAGUUUUUAGUUGGCAAAUUAACUUUCCAGUAGGAAUAUUAUAGAUCAAAUAUAAGUGAACUUAAAAAAAAAUUGUCUUCGUCACCAUUAUAGUAACCUACUUCAUGCUGUUUCUUUCUAUUCAUGCCUUGGGUAAUAACUUUAUCAAGGUAUUUCAUGUCAAGAUCUGGCAAAACCUGCAAGAAAAGCACCACGUAUUAUAAACUCAUACCUAAGAAUCGAAGCAAAAUAAACAUGUACGGAUUGAAUAGUAAACAUGUAAGUAGAACUCCUUGGUUUGCAUAACAAUAGCUUAACAUUUUUCCCGUAAUCAGAUCAUUCAAAGAUUCUGGGAACAAGUUAAUUCUAGGUAUAGGCACUUCAUAUUUAUAUCUCACACAUUAAUAUUACUAUUAGCGUAUACAUUAGUGCUUUUUGUUUUUCAAGGAGGUACACAUGGAUAUACUUUAAUGUUAAAAUUAAUUCAUCCUACAUAUCCGAUUUUAAUUAGUCUUACCAAUUCUAAAUUUAUGUAUUUUAUUAUAGCUGAUGUUACAGAUUUAGCUGAAGGAUCAAAUUCUGAAAUUGUUAUAAGAAAACGAACUGAGCUUAACAAGCGACGCCGGGAGCAAUACAAUAAAGCUACAGAAGAGGAACGGAGCCAAAGAAACAAACUAAGAUGUGACCGAAGAGCAAAACAAAAGAUUAAUGCGAUAGAAUGUCAACAAGUAAACAAUGGUAAUUUCUAGAGGUUACAAUAUUUAUAAUACCAUGUCGUGCAAAUUUUUUUUAUUAACCCUUAUAAGUUGUUAUUUUGUGUAUAUAGAUAUACCAGUUACUGAUGAAAGCACAAAGUAUAUACAAAUGAUAAAGAGGAAUACAUCUACAACAAAAGGUAUUCUCUAUAUCUCCCUUACGCUUAUUAUAUAUAAGUAUAUAAUACAUGUAUAUAUAUAUAUAAAUUUAUUUAUUACUGAUUUGAUUUUUAUUUUUAUUUUUAAAGCAUUUGCUGAAGUUAGCAAACGAAUGAGGACAAAAAUACAGUCGAACAAGGAAAAGUUUGGUAAGCCUAAAUUUUCAUAGGCUCCACAAAAAUUAACAGCAAAUAACUAUUUAACUUAUCAUGUUAUAGCUAAACUAUACAAACCUAUUUUGCUACAGCAAAAGCAACAUCGAUCCUAAAUAUUGGAAGUGCCGACAAAGAAUGUGCAUACUGUGGUGCACUAAUGUGGGGGCAGGAAAGAACGAGAGAAGAAGGUGUUUCAAACACUUCAAGCUUCUCACUAUGUUGUAGCCAUGGUAAAGUUAAACUACCUAACUUACAAGAAACUCCCCCGGAAUUGAAGAGACUGUUGGAUGGAACAGAUGAAUUAAGUAAAGCAUUUAGAAAAAAUUACAGGAUGUACAACACUGCAUUUUCCUUCACAUCCACUGGUGGAGAAAUAGAUAAAAGAUAUAAUAACGGUGGUGGCCCUUUUUUUUAUCGUAUAUUUGGUGAAAUAUAUCAUCAGAUCGGCUCUUUGUACCCGGAUGAUGGUGAGAAGCCAGUUUAUUCACAAAUCUACAUGUAUGACAAUCAACAAGAAGUCGAAAAACGGGUAUCCUUUCCGCACAAUGAUGAACUUCUGGAUACAAGAAUUAUCAAAACUAUUACUGAAAUGUUGGAUCGUGAGAAUGAAUUAGCUAAAUUUUUUCACAGCAUACGUGACAGAUUCAGUUCAACAGAUUGUAUCCCAUCUAAGUUACGGUUAGUUGGCAACCGCGAAACAGAUGGCCGGGAAAGCUCUAAACCUACAAAUAUACACGAUUUUGCAGCACUGAUUGUUGAUGACAACUUGGCAGAUAACAGAGACGUAAUAGUACAUUACAAAGGGGGUGGUCUUCAUAGAAUUUCAGAGCUAAGUCCAAGCUAUAUGGCCCUACAAUAUCCACUAAUAUUUCCCUUUGGAGAAGAUGCCUUCAGAACAGAUAUUUUGCAUCGUGGUGUAUCCACACACACGGCAACUAAAAAGGAUAAAGUCUCAAUUAGAGAGUUCUAUGCUUAUCGUAUCCAACAACGAAGUAAUGAAGGUCACACAUUAAUUCGUGGUGGAAGAUUAUUCUUGCAGUUCGUGGUUGAUGCUUAUGCAUGUAUUGAACAUAGUAGGCUAAUGUGGGUCAAAUUACACCAAGAAACUUUGAGAGCUGACGUCUAUAAUAAUAUCGUCGAUUCUGUUAAUAGAGGUGAUGCAGAUGCUAUAACUGUUGGAAAACGUAUUGUUUUACCUGCGACUUUCACAGGAAGCCCGCGAUAUAUGCAACAAAAUUAUCAAGACUGCAUGGCGGUUUGUAGAAAAUUAGGCAGCCCUGACUUAUUCAUCACUUUCACAUGCAAUCCUGCCUGGCCUGAAAUAAAAGAGCAUUGUAAUAAGAUUGUCAAUCAAACACCUGAUGUUCGACCAGAUAUUAUAUCUCGAGUUUUCAAAAUAAAGCUUGACAUGCUUUUGGAGGACUUGACACAAAAUCACGUGCUCGGAAAAGUCAUCGGAGGUACAAUAGUUCUAAAAUAAACACACACAUACACACUCUCACACACACACACAUAUGAUACUCAUACUACCAUUUUUAGUUCAUUUUUCAUGAGAAAUCCCUACAUGUAUUCUAAUCAAAUGUCUUUAGUUAAAAAUAUAUAUCAAAUUGUUCUGCAUAUCAUUCAUUUUACAUCAAAAAAUUUGCAUAGUUGCUACAUGCUCUUAAACCCCUCUUAUUCAAGUAAAUUUGUCAUUGUAAACACUGUAUGUCGCUAAACCGCUGAUGAUGUUUUAAUAUAUAAUAUGUAAACUAAUAUAUCACACUUAUUCAAGUAACAUUUAUCAUUGUAAAAACUAUAUUUAGCUAAACCGCUGAUAAAGUUUUAAUAUAUAAUAUGUAAACUAAUAUAUCACACUAUUCAACAUUACCUUUCUAUUUCUUCCAGUUGCUUACACAAUUGAAUUUCAAAAGAGAGGUUUGCCACACGUGCACAUAGUUGUUUGGCUUGCUGAAUCCGAUCGUUGCCAUUCUACAGAGGAUAUAGAUUUUUUAAUUUCAGCUGAACUACCUGAUAAAGAUAUUGACCCUUUGGGAUAUGAAGCUGUAAGUACUUUAAUGAUUCAUGGCCCCUGUGGAGUUGUUAACCCAGAAUCUCCAUGCAUGAAAGGAGAAGAAGGCUAUAAGAAAUGUAAAAAUUAUUAUCCCAAAGAUUUCACAACUGAAACCACAAUUGAUUCAAAAGGUUAUCCAGUUUACAAGCGUCGAAAUGAUGGAAGGACAGCGACAUGUAGGGGUGUGAAUAUUGACAAUAGGUAACAAACUUAUGUUACACUGUACUUAACAUUAUUAAAAUAUUAUUCUACAGAUUUAUAGUUUCAACUAUGAUCCUGUUAUGUUGUCUCAGGUAUGUUGUGCCGUACAAUCGAGGUCUAUUAGUCAAGUAUCAAGCACAUAUCAAUGUCGAAUGGUGCCAUCAAGGCGACCUUAUAAAAUAUAUGUUCAAGUAUGUGCUAAAAGGUCCAGAUCGGGCAACAAUGGUGAUUGAAAAGGAUAGACAACCAAAUAAAGAAAAUUCGGGACCAGUUGACAAUGACGAGGUCAAAAAUUAUCUGACGUGUCGAUAUUUGUCGUCAUGUGAAGCAUGUUGGCGUAUUUUCGAGUUUCCUAUACAUUAUCGUAAACCUGUGGUUCAAAAAUUAACAUUCCAUCUCGAAAAAGAACAGAUUAUUUGUUUCAAUGAGAAAGAGUCACUACCGUCUGUUCUAAGAAAAAAUCACGUGGACAGCACUAUGUUCGUGCAGUGGUUCCAGGCUAACACUCAGUAUCCAGAGGGUAAAAGUCUCACCUACGUUGAAUUUCCAGAAAAAUUUCGUUGGGACAAUAGUGCGAAAAUGUGGAUUCCUAGACAAAGAAAUAUACCUGUCAUUGGUCGUUUGAUUUAUGUGCAACCUGCUACUGGUGAACUAUUCUAUAUGAGACUCUUAUUGAAUAUUGUCUGUGGAGCAACUUCUUUUGAAGAUCUAAGGACAGUUAAUGGAGUACUUUACAAAACUUACAAGGAAGCAUGCCUU
rnacentral:lncRNA from 1 species